rnacentral:rRNA from 1 species
CCAAUAGCGUAUAUUAAAGUUGUUGCAGUUAAAAAGCUCGUAGUUGAACUUCGGGGUCUACCCAUUGGUCAGGCUUAAUUGUCUGCACUGGUGAGAUGGAUCUCUACCUUCUGAGGAACUUUCAUGCCCCUUAUUUGGUGUGGUUGGAAAUCAGGACUGUUACUUUGAAAAAAUUAGAGUGUUUAAAGCAGACUAUCGUCUGAAUACAUUAGCAUGGAAUAAUGAAAUAGGACGGACUGAUUCUAUUUCGUUGGUUUCUAGGAUCACCGUAAUGAUUAAUAGGGAUAGUUGGGGGCAUUAGUAUUCAAUUGUCAGAGGUGAAAUUCUUGGAUUUAUUGAGGACUAACUACUGCGAAAGCAUUUGCCAAGGAUGUUUUCAUUAAUCAAGAACGAAAGUUAGGGGAUCGAAGACGAUCAGAUACCGUCGUAGUCUUAACCAUAAACUAUGCCGACUAGGGAUCGGACGAAGUUAAUUUUAUAAUGACGCGUUCGGCACCUUACG